rnacentral:rRNA from 1 species
UGUCGUCAGCUCGUGUUGUGAAAUGUUGGGUUAAGUCCCGCAACGAGCGCAACCCUUAUCCUUUGUUGCCAGCGGUCCGGCCGGGAACUCAAAGGAGACUGCCAGUGAUAAACUGGAGGAAGGUGGGGAUGACGUCAAGUCAUCAUGGCCCUUACGACCAGGGCUACACACGUGCUACAAUGGCGCAUACAAAGAGAAGCGACCUCGCGAGAGCAAGCGGACCUCAUAAAGUGCGUCGUAGUCCGGAUUGGAGUCUGCAACUCGACUCCAUGAAGUCGGAAUCGCUAGUAAUCGUGGAUCAGAAUGCCACGGUGAAUACGUUCCCGGGCCUU